AAAAUCAUUUUAAGUUUGCCGUGGAUACACAAGUAGUUCAGUCGGAAGAAGACGAACGAGUGUCUGCUCAUGUUUAUGUUCAUCACUUUACACUGUAUGAUGUCUAUGCACGUGGGUAUGUGAGGCCGUUUUGUAUGUGCUACGUCACUGGAGAUCAACCGAAACUCAUGCUGAACUUUGAGGAUAUACGGAGACAAUUCUCAUAUGUUUGUUCAUCUUGUGCUUCAGAAAGUGGUGCUUUGUGAUUCAAACUAUUCACGAUGACUAGGUUUCAGAAACGUUACAUGUCACAAAUUUGCGAGUGUUUGAAAGGGAUUUGAAGAAGAGAAUAGCUGAUCUUAAACACUCUGAAAAGUGUUUGCAAGACCAGAUGACUACAAUGUGUCAGCUUCAGAUAAAUGUUUGUAUUAGAUGUGUGUGUGUGUGUGUGUGUGUGUGUGUGUGUGUGUGUGUGUGUGUGUGUGGGGG